rnacentral:rRNA from 1 species
GACGAACGCUGGCGGCGUGCUUAACACAUGCAAGUCGAACGGAAAGGCCUCUUUCGGGGGGUACUCGAGUGGCGAACGGGUGAGUAACACGUGAGUAACCUGCCCUUGACUUUGGGAUAACUUCAGGAAACUGGGGCUAAUACCGGAUAGGAGCUCCUGCUGCACGGUGGGGGUUGGAAAGUUUCGGCGGUUGGGGAUGGACUCGCGGCUUAUCAGCUGGUUUGUGGGGUAGUGGCUUACCAAGGGUUUGUGGGGUAGCCGGCCCGGGGGGGGGCCGGGCACAUUGGGACUGGGAUACGGCCCAGACUCCUACGGGAGGCAGCAGGGGGGAAGAUUGCACAAUGGGUGGAAGCCUGAUGCAGCAACGCCGUGUGCGGGAUGACGGCCUUCGGGUUGGAAACCGCUUUCGCUCAUGACGAAGCUUUGUGUGACGGUAGUGGGUAAAGAAGCACCGGCUAACUACGUG